rnacentral:rRNA from 1 species
UACAGAGGGUGCGAGCGUUGUUCGGAAUUAUUGGGCGUAAAGGGCGCGUAGGCGGUGCCACAAGUCACCUGUGAAAUCUCUGGGCUUAACUCAGAGCCUGCAGGCGAAACUGUGGUGCUGGAGUAUGGGAGAGGUGCGUGGAAUUCCCGGUGUAGCGGUGAAAUGCGUAGAUAUCAGGAGGAACACCGGUGGCGAAGGCGGAUCUCUGGGCCGAUACUGACGCUGAGGAGCGAAAGCGUGGGGAGCGAACAG